UUCCGGUUGAUCCUGCCGGAGGUUACUGCUAUCGAGGUUCGACUAAGCCAUGCGAGUCGAAUGUAGCAAUACAUGGCGAACUGCUCAGUAACACGUGGACAACCUGCCCUUAGGUUGGGGAUAAACCCGGGAAACUGGGUAUAAUACCCGAUAGGUCUCGAUUGCUGGAAUGCAUCGAGAUUUAAAGCUCCGGCGCCUAAGGAUGGGUCUGCGGCCUAUCAGGUAGUAGUGGGUGUAGCGUACCUACUAGCCUACGACGGGUACGGGUUGUGAGAGCAAGAGCCCGGAGAUGGAUUCUGAGACACGAAUCCAGGCCCUACGGGGUGCAGCAGGCGCGAAAACUUUACAAUGCUGGCAACAGCGAUAAGGGAACCUCGAGUGCCAGGUUACAAAUCUGGCUGUCGAGAUGCCUAAAAAGCAUUUCAUAGCAAGGGCCGGGCAAGACCGGUGCCAGCCGCCGCGGUAACACCGGCGGCUCGAGUGGUAACCGUUAUUAUUGGGUCUAAAGGGUCUGUAGCCGGCCGGAUAAGUCUCUUGAGAAAUCUGGCAGCUUAACUGUCAGGCUUUCAGGAGAUACUGUCUGGCUCGAGGCCGGGAGAGGUGAGAGGUACUUCAGGGGUAGGGGUGAAAUCUUGUAAUCCUUGAAGGACCACCAGUGGCGAAGGCGUCUCACCAGAACGGACCUGACGGCAAGGGACGAAAGCUAGGGGCACGAACCGGAUUAGAUACCCGGGUAGUCCUAGCCGUAAACGAUACUCGCUAGGUGUCGGCCACGGUGCGACCGUUGUCGGUGCCGUAGGGAAGCCGUGAAGCGAGCCACCUGGGAAGUACGGCCGCAAGGCUGAAACUUAAAGGAAUUGGCGGGGGAGCACCACAACGGGUGGAGCUUGCGGUUUAAUUGGAUUCAACGCCGGAA
rnacentral:rRNA from 1 species